rnacentral:rRNA from 1 species
GACGAACGCUGGCGGCGUGCUUAACACAUGCAAGUCGAACGGAAAGGCCCUUCGGGGUACUCGAGUGGCGAACGGGAGAGUAAGAGGUGCGUGAUCUUCCCCGCACUUUGGGAUAAGCCUGGGAUACUGGGACUAAUACUAAUUCGGACCACGCGCUUCUGCUUCUGGGGGGGGAUGGUUUUGGGGGUGGGGAUGGGCCCGGGGCCUAUCAGCUUGUUGGUGGGGUUAUGGUCUACCAAGGCCAAGACGGGUAGCCGGCCUGAGCGGGUGACCGGCCACACUGGGACUGAGAUAAGGCCCAGACUCCUACGGGAGGCAGCAGUGGGGAAUAUUGCACAAUGGGCGGAAGCCUGAUGCAGCAACGCCGCGUGAGGGAUGACGGCCUUCGGGUUGUAAACCGCUUUCGAAUGGGACGAAGCGGGAGUGACGGUACCGAUAGAAGAAGCACCGGCCAACUACGUG